rnacentral:rRNA from 1 species
GAACGCUGGCGGCGCGCCUAACACAUGCAAGUCGAACGAGCGAGAGAGAGCUUGCUUUCUCGAGCGAGUGGCGAACGGGUGAGUAACGCGUGAGGAACCUGCCUCAAAGAGGGGGACAACAGUUGGAAACGACUGCUAAUACCGCAUAAGCCCACGACCCGGCAUCGGGUAGAGGGAAAAGGAGCAAUCCGCUUUGAGAUGGCCUCGCGUCCGAUUAGCUAGUUGGUGAGGUAACGGCCCACCAAGGCGACGAUCGGUAGCCGGACUGAGAGGUUGAACGGCCACAUUGGGACUGAGACACGGCCCAGACUCCUACGGGAGGCAGCAGUGGGGAAUAUUGCACAAUGGGGGAAACCCUGAUGCAGCGACGCCGCGUGGAGGAAGAAGGUCUUCGGAUUGUAAACUCCUGUUGUUGAGGAAGAUAAUGACGGUACUCAACAAGGAAGUGACGGCUAACUACGUGCCAGCAGCCGCGGUAAAACGUAGGUCACAAGCGUUGUCCGGAAUUACUGGGUGUAAAGGGAGCGCAGGCGGGAAGACAAGUUGGAAGUGAAAUCCAUGGGCUCAACCCAUGAACUGCUUUCAAAACUGUUUUUCUUGAGUAGUGCAGAGGUAGGCGGAAUUCCCGGUGUAGCGGUGGAAUGCGUAGAUAUCGGGAGGAACACCAGUGGCGAAGGCGGCCUACUGGGCACCAACUGACGCUGAGGCUCGAAAGUGUGGGUAGCGAACAGGAUUAGAUACCCUGGUAGUCCACACUGUAAACGAUGAUUACUAGGUGUUGGAGGAUUGACCCCUUCAGUGCCGCAGUUAACACAAUAAGUAAUCCACCUGGGGAGUACGACCGCAAGGUUUGCACU